GCCUGGGUGGCUCAGUCGCUUAAGCGUCUGACUUUGGCUCAGCUCACGAUCUCAUGGUUUGUGGGUUCGAAACCCACAUCGGGCU
rnacentral:tRNA from 1 species